UUACCAUAUGAAAUUUGACCUUGCUCAAAAAUGCAAAAUUGACUGGUCUGAUGAACACAGGAUGGCCGAGCAGUGAGAGUUGUACCUUUCCAUCACUCGUUGUGUUGAUUUCAUCAUGUCCAUUUGUUUAUGUUUUCUCACUUUUGCAAAGUCACUGUGCAUUUGCAAUAUGGUUCAAUGGGCAGGUACCAUCACGAAUUUGUCAUGCUAUAAAAAUCCUGCAGGAAUGUGAAAUUGACUGGCCUGAUGAACACAGGAUGGCCGAGCAGUGAUAGUUGUACAUUUCCAUCACUCGUUGUGUUGAUUUCAUCAUCUCCGUUAGGUGAUGUUUUUACACUAUAGAAUCAUAUUGCAAAUGCACGUGCAUUGUUGUGCAACUGGUAACCCAAAAAUAAAAAUAUGGUUGUAAAUGCAUUUACCGGUCAUUCUGAUAUUAAUGCUCGCUAUGGGAACACAGGAUGGCCGGGCAGUGAUAGUUGUACAUUUCCAUCACUCGUUGUGUUGAUUUCAUCAUGUCCAUUAGGUGAUGUUUUUACACUAUAGAAUCAUAUUGCAAGUGCGCGCGCAUUUGCAAUAUGUUUCAAUGUGCAUUUACCAUAUGAAAUUUGACAUGCUCAAAAAUGCAAAAUUGACUGGUCUGAUGGACACAGGAUGGCCGAGCAGUGAUAGUUGUACAUUUCCAUCACUCGUUGUGUUGAUUUCAUCAUGUCCAUUAGGUGAUGUUUUUACACUAUAGAAUCAUAUUGCAAGUGCGCGCGCAUUUGCAAUAUGUUUCAAUGUGCAUUUACCAUAUGAAAUUUGACAUGCUCAAAAAUGCAAAAUUGACUGGUCUGAUGAACACAGGAUGGCUGAGCAGUGAUAGUUGUACAUUUCCAUCACUCGUUGUGUUGAUUUCAUCAUGUCCAUUUGUUUAUGUUUUCUCACUUUUGCAAAGUCACUGUGCAUUUGCAAUAUGGUUCAAUGGGCAGGUACCAUCACGAAUUUGUCAUGCUAUAAAAAUCCUGCAGGAAUGUGAAAUUGACUGGCCUGAUGAACACAGGAUGGCCUGGCAGUGAUAGUUGUUCCUUUCCAUCACUCGUUGUGUUGAUUUCAUCAUGUCCAUUAGGUGAUGUUUUUUCACUAUAGAAUCAUAUUGCAAAUGCACGUGCAUUGUUGUGCAACUGGUAACCCAAAAAUAAAAAUAUGGUUGUAAAUGCAUUUACCGGUCAUUCUGAUAUUAAUGCUCGCUAUGGGAACACAGGAUGGCCGGGCAGUGAUAGUUGUACAUUUCCAUCACUCGUUGUGUUGAUUUCAUCAUGUCCAUUAGGUGAUGUUUUUACACUAUAGAAUCAUAUUGCAAGUGCGCGCGCAUUUGCAAUAUGUUUCAAUGUGCAUUUACCAUAUGAAAUUUGACAUGCUCAAAAAUGCAAAAUUGACUGGUCUGAUGGACACAGGAUGGCCGAGCAGUGAUAGUUGUACAUUUCCAUCACUCGUUGUGUUGAUUUCAUCAUGUCCAUUAGGUGAUGUUUUUUCACUAUAGAAUCAUAUUGCAAAUGCACGUGCAUUGUUGUGCAACUGGUAACCCAAAAAUAAAAAUAUGGUUGUAAAUGCAUUUACCGGUCAUUCUGAUAUUAAUGCUCGCUAUGGGAACACAGGAUGGCCGGGCAGUGAUAGUUGUACAUUUCCAUCACUCGUUGUGUUGAUUUCAUCAUGUCCAUUAGGUGAUGU